GACGAACGCUGGCGGCGUGCUUAACACAUGCAAGUCGAACGGAAAGGCCCUGCGUUUGCGCGGUGCUCGAUUGGGGAACGGGUGAGUAACACGUGAGUAACAUGCACUUGUCUUUGUGAUAACUUUAGGAAAAUGGGGCUAAUAUAGGAGAGGAGCUCCUGCAGCAUGGGGGGGGAUGGAAAGAGUCGGCGGUUGUGGAUGGAAUGGCGGCUUAUGAGCUGGUUGGGGAGGUAGUGGAGUACAAAGGUUAUGAAGGGUAGCCGGCCUGAGAGGGUGGACGGCCACCUUGGGCCUGAGAGACGGCGCAGUCUCCUACGGGAGGCAGCAGUGGGGAAUAUUGCACAAUGGGCGGACGCCUGAUGCAGCAACGCCGCGUGCGGGAUGACGGCCUUCGAGUUGUAAACAGCUUUCGCCUGUGACGAAGCGUGAGUGACGGUAAUGGGUAAAGAAGCACCGGCUAACUACGUG
rnacentral:rRNA from 1 species